rnacentral:lncRNA from 1 species
AGAAGGCCUAUUGGUUUUCAUAGCCACUACUGACUUGAAAACCUAACAGAACAUUGGUUUGCUUUUUGAUUUAUUAGGAAGCAGGCUUAACUGAACUUGCUGGCUGGAAUCUAUAUAAGUCCUGCUGGAUUUCUGCUUUGCACCUGCAGAAGCAGAUUUAAAGCUACUGCCCUCUGUGGAUACUAUACACUCUGCAUUAGCAGUAUGAGAGAACUGUUGAUAAAUUAAGAAAAUUGCAUUGGAAAUGUACUUUGCUGUAAGCCUGCCCUGCUGGGGUUGGAGGCAACGUUCCUUGUGAGACUUAUGGGACAGCUCUAAAUCCAAUACUUUGGGCAAUAUCUUUCUUAGUGUGCUGGGAUAUAUCCCUAGAAAUAAUGUACAGAUAAAUGCAAGUUAUUUAUUGCUUAGAAACUGUCAUAACUUUUUAUUGUUUUAUUUAUUACAGCCAAAAAAAAAGACUGAUCUGGAGAAGAGUGGAAAAACAAUGACAAUAUAUCUUUCUUGCAUAAGACAAAGGUGUUGCCUACAAUAAAUUCACUGAGCAAGAAAUAUAGACUUGUGUCCAGUGCUAUGAAAAUUAACCAAGGCACAUUAACUUCAGGAAAUCUUCAAAGGUAUGAAAAUAAAAUGCUUACUCGGUAAUUAUUUAAACCA